GAUGAACGCUGGCGGCGUGCCUAAUACAUGCAAGUCGAGCGAACGGACGAGAAGCUUGUUUCUCUGAUGUUAGCGGCGGACGGGUGAGUAACACGUGGAUAACCUACCUAUAAGACUGGGAUAACUUCGGGAAACCGGAGCUAAUACCGGAUAAUAUUUUGAACCGCAUGGUUCAAAAGUAAAAGACGGUCUUGCUGUCACUUAUAGAUGGAUCCGCGCUGCAUUAGCUAGUUGGUAAGGUAACGGCUUACCAAGGCAACGAUGCAUAGCCGACCUGAGAGGGUGAUCGGACACACUGGAACUGAGACACGGUCCAGACUCCUACGGGAGGCAGCAGUAGGGAAUCUUCCGCAAUGGGCGAAAGCCUGACGGAGCAACGCCGCGUGAGUGAUGAAGGUCUUCGGAUCGUAAAACUCUGUUAUUAGGGAAGAACAUAUGUGUAAGUAACUGUGCACAUCUUGACGGUACCUAAUCAGAAAGCCACGGCUAACUACGUG
rnacentral:rRNA from 1 species